CCAAAUCGGAUCCGAGAGUCUUUUUCUAAAGGCCAGUACUGGCCACACUUUCUCCUGCCGCCUUCCUCAAAGCUGAAGACACACAGAGCAAGGCUUCUUCUGUUUUACUCCCCAAUGGUAACUCCAAACCACAGAUGUUAGCUCCCUGCUCAUCCCUUCACAUCCCUGCUAUUCAGUGUGGUCUGUGGACCAAUCACACCAGCAUGGUAUGGGAGAGUGUAGGAAACAUGAAUCUGCACAUUAACAAGAUCUCCAGGAGAGUCAUAGAAAAUGAGGAGUGAAAUGGCCAGCUGAAAACCUCACUUCAAUAAAUGUUGCUGGGACAAGUGGAUAUCUACAUGCAGAAAAAUCAAGCUGACUCCUUCCUCACACCAUGCACAAAAAUUGACUCAAAAUGGAUCACAGACCAAAUGUAAGAGUUAAAACUAUCAGCAUAAAAUAUAAGAGUAAAUCUUUGUGACCUUGGUUUAGGGAAAGCCUUCACAGAUAUGACACCAAAGGCAUAAGUGACAAAAGAAAAGACAUAAA